UACGGAGGGUGCAAGCGUUAUCCGGAUUUACUGGGUUUAAAGGGUGCGUAGGUGGGUCUGUAAGUCAGUGGUGAAAUCUCCGAGCUUAACUCGGAAACUGCCAUUGAUACUAUAGGUCUUGAAUUAUCUGGAGGUAAGCGGAAUAUGUCAUGUAGCGGUGAAAUGCUUAGAUAUGACAUAGAGCACCAAUUGCGAAGGCAGCUUACUACGGAUUGAUUGACACUGAGGCACGAAAGCGUGGGGAGCAAACAGG
rnacentral:rRNA from 1 species